AAGAGGCAAGUGAGGGACAAAUUCAACAAACAAAAAGAAGUCAAGAAACACUUCAGUGGGGGAAAGGAUUUCCUUCAGGUGUUUACUGUGAGUUCCACGGAAUACCAAAAGGAAAAGCAUUUGCAACAAGAAGAGACAGAAAUACCCAAACUUCAGGAAUUUCUCAAGAAUCUCAAUGAUCGUAGUACAAAGACUUCAGAUUAUGUUUCUGGAGCCUAUGGGAUCCUCUCUCUGAUACAAGGAGCCAAAAGCAGUGACAUGACAGACAGCAAAGAAGAGGUGUGCCAGGUUCUGGAACAGAGGCUCAAGGUGAGCUCAAGUCCAUUGGUCAAACUAUGGAUGAGGCUUAUGAGACUUUUGAACGAUGCCUUUCAGAAGGAGUUCGACAGUCAGAAGAAAUCAUGCGAGAAAUUAAUGAACAAAGUGAUAGCACCAAGAGGGAAAAAAGGCAGUGGAUAUCAUAAAGUAGUGAAGACUUUGUGCAAGAAUGGCGGCGUUUACAAACCAAAAGGGAAAAGGCAAAGGAGAAGGGAAAUAAACCUUAAUGAGAGUUUAGCCUCAUGUAUGAUCAAGCUCAUUGAUGAAGAGUUUAAGACAUAUUUCCCAAAUGAGGGCAAACGUGGCCCAAUCAGGGAGCAGAUUGAGACAUUCACCCUUGACACGAACAGCUUGGUUGGGGAGCACCCAGAAGUGUCACUGCAUCUGAUAUUCCUCAAGACAGAGGUAGGUUUUCUUUUUAAUAUCUGGAAAAGCAACAUUGACAUACACAACUGAUU